ensembl:lncRNA
CUAAUCUCUACUGCUCUAUCUAAUUUGACAGCCAUUCCAUCUUGUAUCCCUCUCUCUACUGCUCUAUCUAAUUUGAGAAUCUAAGUUUUCAGAAAUCCAAGUUUUCAGAAUCCAAGUUUUCAGAAAUCCAAGUUACCAGUACUUGAUCUAUCUGUUACAGAAUUCUGAGAGAUCUCUGCUCUCACUGCUCCUUCUUUCCUGUCAUUAAGCUCUCACAUUCAGUCAUUUUGCUGGAAAUUACAAGUUGAAUAUACAGUAGUAGAAUUACAGUACAGUAGAACUUAUAGUAGAAACUACUUACACAGCCCUACAUUUGUCAUUUUAAUUUUGCAUUAGACUUUAGUUUGGACUGCUAGUUUGGCUUACUUUGAUCAAUUGUAUAAAAUAUCACCUUUUUAUAAGUUUAUUUGUAAUAAGAUAAUCUGGUUAUUUUGUAAUACAUACAUUCAGAUAAAUAAUAAAUUAGAUCCAGUCUGUUAGUCUGUUUCAUUGGCUAUAACAUUUGACUGCAAGUUUAUAGUAUUAUUAUUUAAGGACAAACCCAUUUUGGCACUCAGUGUAAGUAUUCAGUUAGUAUUGUCAUCGAGAAGCACCUGAGGACCCAGACUUUCUGUUUUCUGACUGCUGCAGAAAAUCCAGCUGAAGAAUCCUCAUCGUCUGUCAUCUUAUCACCACACCACCAAAGCUCCAUAUAUUUGAUUUAAAUUUUAGAUAUCUGAAAGAUUUACAUAAACUCCCCUAAGAGCUAAGACUUUUAUUAUAGCCUGUUGAUUGUUGAGGUUUAUUCUGCAUAUCAUCUUACAGAAGUUGUACUUAUUUAUCAGUCUGGUUAAAAAAAUAUAAGUAAAAUUAUACAGUUUCUAAAAGAGCUACAAUAAAACGGACCAAAUUGUUUCCAGAGAACUUUGAAUUUCCUUUAUUUUGAGUUUGGAGUACAAAUCAGCUUAACGUCUAUUUAUAUAUUCAUAAAAACAUUUUAAAGUAGUAUAAUAGUACAUUUCUCAGAUUUAACAGUAACUUGAGGAGUUUUACGUUUUUCUGUGUUUCAAGGUUGAGUUUUGUUUACAUUUGUGUAUAACCACAUAUAAGCUCCAGGUUGUACUUCAGCAAAAUGCCAAGAAAAGGUCAAAGGUCGCAGUCCCAGAAGCUUAGACGUCAGAAGGAGAAAGAACAGGUGAAUGUUUCUCAGAGCAGUGAGCAGGUAAAGGUGUGUGUUUCAGCUUUUCCCAGCACGGAAGUGCAGAGCAUUGUUCAGACAGCCACAGUGUCUUAUGCAGAUGUGGUAAAGAGAGGUGUUCCCUCAGUGUCUGUCCCAGAGCCUGAAGUUAUGCAGCUAAUCCAGACUGAACCCCAGGUAACUGAACAAACACAGCAUGAUGGAGAGACAGCCACAGUGUCUUAUGCAGAUGUUGUAAAGAGAGGUGUUCCCUCAGUGUCUGUCCCAGAUCCUGAAGUUAUGCAGGUAAUCCAGACUGAACCCCAGCUAACUGUACAAACACAGCAUGAUGGACAAGCUCCAGUACAGUCUCAUGUACAGGUUACAAACAGUGAAAGUCGUCCACAAGAUGAAUUCAUUACCAAAGCAGAUCUUAACCGUGUGUUGGACAAAGGCCAUGCAGUGUACUCAGAUGCCAGAAAGAGGUUUGUGAACAGCGUGUUUCUAGCCUGUGAUGAGCUUCCCUCAGUGGUCACCAGCCGCAGACGUGAGUAUCAAGUUGACAUGUCUCAGUUUGCUCGUUACGGCACAUUUGAUGGUACAGGUCAUCUUCCGAGCCUUGAACAAGGACUACAGUGUUUGGCUUCAGAGUUUUGCUACGCUUUGCUAGUCAUGGGAGGAACAGUCAUCGCCGUUUGCAGGCUGACUUCAGGUGAAUAUGCAUAUUUUGACCCUCACCCACGUAAGUCUACUGGUAUGCCAUUGUCGCUAAGUGUAAGUGGUGGAACUGCAGUUAUGUUGAAGUUCACACGUCUUAAUGACAUGAUUGACAGGAUCAAACGUUUGUACCGAAUGUUUAGCAUCGCACCAACCUGCACUUAUGAGCUACAGCCCAUCGAGUUUCACAGUGAAAACGCUGCUGACCAAAGAGAUGCUAAUCAGACCACCGAAUACAGACAAACAGCUACAAGUGCACCAGCACCAGCUUUAAGUGAAUGUGUUCAUGAAUCAAACUCCGAAAUAUACACUGAGCAGACACGGAAACCUGUGACCAAAGAUUUAACCAGUGAAGUAAUGUCAUCCAGAGCUGAUUCUUCAAAUGAGACAGUUGCUCCCAGAAAAAAACAACCUUCUGAUUAUUUUGAAAAGAAAACCUCUGCAUCUUCUGUGAGAGAAACUCCAGUAACACCAGAUUCUGUUCCUCAGAAUGAUUCAAACACUGCCUCCAGUUCAACUAAGAUAACAGAGGAACUCUCAGAUAAACUGCUGAAACGUAAUAAACAGCAAAGGCAAAAAAUGAGGAGAUUAUUGACCCAACAAAAGCUACCACAACGAAAGGAAAAUCAGAAGACAAAAGAAAGGCAGAUGUACAGGUUUGAUGAAAGCUUCAAGACAAAGAAAAAAAACUCAAUUAAGAAGUCUAAUGAUCCUGAUCACAGACAGAAAAGGAGUCAGUACAAAAAUGAACUGUAUAAAUUAAAUGCUACCUAUAGGGAGAAACACAGAGAACAUUUGAGAAAGAUGUAUAGAGAAAGUGCUACAAUUAGAGAGAGAAAAAGAGAACGUGUCAUAAGGACAUAUAAAGACAAUCCCCUAUUCAGAGAAAACCAGAAGAAACGUAUAACAAGAACAUAUAGAGAGUCUUCCAUAUUCAGAGAUAAGCAGAAGGAACGUAUAACAAGAACAUAUAGAGAGUCUUCCAUAUUCAGAGAUAAGCAGAAGGAACGUAUAACAAGAACAUAUAGAGAGUCUUCCAUAUUCAGAGAUAAGCAGAAAGAACGUAUAAGAAGAAUAUACAGAACUUGUGCUGGAUUCAGAGAAAAACAUAAAGCUUACAUGAGGUCAUAUGUAUAUAACCUAUAUAAAGAAAGCGAAGAAUUUAAAAAGAAAAAACGAUCUUACAUGACUAAGCGUUAUGGAGAAGAGAAACAAUUUCAGCAACAACACAAGGACAAUAUGAG